rnacentral:rRNA from 1 species
UACGUAGGCAGCGAGCGUUUGUUCGGAAUUACUGGGCGUAAAGAGUGUGUAGGCGGUGCUCCCAGUCUGUUGUGAAAUCUCCCGGCUUAACUGGGAGGGUGCAGCGGAAACUAGAGUGCUAGAGGGUGGGAGAGGUAAGCGGAAUUCCUGGUGUAGCGGUGAAAUGCGUAGAUAUCAGGAGGAACACCUGUGGUGUAGACGGCUUUCUGGACCAUAGCUGACGCUGAGACACGAAAGCGUGGGUAGCAAACAGG